ACAUAAAGCAGUAGCUGAGAGUCUCUGUUGUCCUGGGACUGGCGCUCUGUUUAGGAAGACAGAUUACACCCCCGGAGCGAUGCCAUGGCAUGCUCUCUGGGCUACUUGGGCCAAAGGAGUUACCGUCCUGACAUCGCAGGAGCUCAGAGAUGUGCCGUGGGCUGCAGUAUUUGGGGAGAAAGAGGUGCUAUUGAGCUGGGCUCUGCAGAGUAGUGCUGCGUGGUUGGCUGGAUGAAAAUGCAUGUGAAGAGAUGUCACAGAGGUAGAGGGAUAAGACAGAUAAGGUGGCUCUGCGGAUUCUGGGACAUCCACGAAUCCCCUGCAUGGCCACAAAUUAUUCCAUCUUUUCCCUUGCAAGAAACAAUGUCGUCUGUAAAGGAAGAUGAUUUGAAUGAACAUAAAGAGAAGACCAAGGGCCAAGGAGGCCUUCUAGAAAUCCUGAAAAGAACAAUUCUAUUGUCGUGCUGGCUUUCUAUUACUUCUAUGAAUAUGUUUGCUAUGUCAAUGCCAAAGACAUGAAAGAGGGAAAACACAGGCUCUCGUAAUGACAGUCGCCUAUGGAAACAGCUGUGAGAGCCAUCACGCCCAAGAACUUAAAGAGAGCUAUGACAUCAUCCUCUGAGUUUUGAAUUCCCUUCCGUCACAGCAUAAAAUAUUUUUAAAAGCAAUUUCUGGACAUCUACUUAGGAGGAGGCUUCGGGUCAGGAGUCAUGCUAAGGAAUGAGUCAUGACGCACCAGGACAAGUCCAUUCACAUGUUGGUCUUUGCGGUCCUUUUGCUCUGUUGCCAACACAGGCCUCCCUGCCAUCACACGGACAGAGGGAAAAAUGAUAGCCUGGGAAAUGAUGACAACAUCUUCUGAAAGUGUCAAGAUCCCGGAGGUCAUUCCUGGACUUGCUGCGUGGUUUUCAUCUUCCUAAUGAGCAACACCUUCUUAGGAAGCAGGCAGGAGCGGAUGUCCUCCGUCUGUAAGUCCUAUUAAAGGUGUUAAAUGCGACACCAUUGAUUCAGAGGACCCUGGCUAAUUUAUGCUGGUCACUUCCUGCAGGAUCCAGAUCAAACUCUUUGUGCCUGGCCCUACCUUGGACCAACCGUGCUCCUGCUUCUCAUUCCAGUCCUGCUGUGACAGGGGCCACCAUCUGGAGCAUCUGACCACGUACUCUACCGGUUUGUCAUUUGCCUGCGUUUUCUGCCCUUUUCUCCCCAGCCACCCCCCACCCCCAACUAUGGACAGGAGUAUUUCAUGUAUUCCUAGGAAUCCCCCACUGCUCGGUAAGUGUUAUACAAACAAACAAACGAAGGAAUGAAGCGGAAAAUCAGGCAAAGGCAAAACCCACUUGACCUAUGUCACCAGGGUUUAUUGAGUGGGAGGCCUUGAGCACAACAGCACUUGAUAAAUGUUACCGAUCGAUCUUUCACUGGUGCAAUUUAUGACCCAGUCUCUCAUGACCCCUUCUGACUUCGCUAUAAUUUUGCUAUGGUUAUUGGAUCUAAAUCUCUUAGAGGAAACAUUAAGUUCUCCUGAUGGCGACAGAGGCAGUCAUAGAAGGAGGAGCAUGAAUUUGGAAUCAGAAAAACCUAGGUUUAAAUGCUGAUACGGCCACUCAUGACCUGUAUGACCUCAGAUAAGUUACUUAACCUCUCAGAGUCUCCAUAGCUUCACCUGUAAGUUGGAGUUAAAAUAAUAAGCACUUGCUAUAUGCCGGAUAUAUUCUCAAUGUCAAAACAUACAAAUUAAUAUAUACCCUCACAAUAACCUUCUGAGGUACAUACUAUUGUCACAUCCAGUUUACAGACAAGAAGACCAGUCUCAGGUGAAACAGCUUGCCUAUAAUCACUAACUAGGAAUUCUUAGGGUUCAGGUAUAGACCCAGGUGGUCUAGACUCCAGAGCCCGGCUUCCCAACCACCUGCUCUGUUGCCUCUUUCUUUCGUGAUUACUGGAAUCUCAUUCAAUGAGCUAAUAAUAUGUAUUGAGGGUGUGGCCCAUACUAAGGGCUACAUAAAUGACUCUAUUCUGGCAUCCAGGAAGGAAAUUCAGAAAAAGUGUGGAUUCAACAACUUAGGUUCAGAUUAGAUUUACCAUUGAAAUGACUGGGCUGGUACGAACAGUUAUUUUUGUUUCGAGCAAUUUGGCAAAAAAAAAAUCUCUGCCUCAAAUAGUAGCAGAACAUUUUCCUGCCCUGCUCAGUGGUCAACUUGGUGGAAGGCAUUUGGUUCUGCAAUGUUUAUUCCGUGUUGUGUUGCUAAGGAAAAGGUGAUGCAGUCAGAUAGAAAGGCAUGAGAUGAAAGCUGAGCCAUGCAGAGGCGGCUUCCUGAGCAAGCCCUCCCUAAAAUAGCACACACUCUCCUGUAGCCUGCUUACGUGUCUCCCAGCACCUAGCCUUACCUGGCGGAAUAUAUUUAUUUCUUUAUGUGUUAUCUGCCCUCCCACAAAAAUAGAGGCUCCAUAGGGCUAGAAUGUUACCUGUGCAGUUCCCUGCUGCGUGAUUUUUGCCUUAAACAGUGUCCUGCUGAGAGUGGAUUUUCAGUAAGUCCUCAUCGAAUGAGCAGGGGACAGGGUCCAGUUUUCUAGUAAGCACAGUUUUCGUGUGUUAUUUUCCAUACCCAUUUCGGAUAGGAAUUGAAGAUACAAUCUUAACAUGUAACUAAGAGAAAGCCGGUCCAGACCCAGGGCAGAAUCAGAGGCUGUAUUUCCUCGAGUGCUUGAGCACAGGGUGUGGAUUCAGAUGGGGCAGCCAGACCAGAGCUCUCAGAGGAGGCCUCACUGGAGGGCAGACCAGAAUGGAAUAUGGAAGUGGUGUUGCUGAUACUACCAUGAUUAAGGGCCAGCUUGAGACACCCCUUUGAGAAUUCAGUGCCAGGAAAAAUGUUGUCUCUCCUGAAAAUGCAGUGAAGACUAACUGACUGGGUGCUGUACUUUUUGCUUUGGCUGCUUGGAAGUUUGGAACUGAAGCUAAUAUUUAGUAAUAGCAGUGAUAGUGACCUUGGCUAUGGUUUUAGAAUCUCUUUCUGAUCUAUACAUACAUAUUCGAGUCACAGACUUGGUCCAUCACUUACCAACUGUAUAACUUUGGGCAAGUUAAUGAACUUUUCUGAGCCUUGCUUUCCUAUAUAAAAUAAAUAUUAACCUAAUUCACAGCUUUUAUGAAUUUGAAAUGAGACAAGCCAUGUACUGAGGAGCGUACAUGGAAGGGAUGCCAUGAGUGUUAGCUGUCAGUACUAAUGGCCAAAUAAGAUACCAAAACUAUGCUCCAGAUGUAUCUUCCAAUUCACAGAAAGAGCCACGUUAACUUUUCAGGUUAAAAGUUAUAUUUUAAAGAGCCACGUUAACUUUUCAGUUUAAAAGUUAUAUUUUCAGUAUAAAAAUGUUUACCAAUCCUCCAAAAGUUUAAGGUGAACCAUAUGAAAUAAUCGAUACUCAACUCUUUUUGACUAAUUUCAAUGGCAAUAGCUCUUCAUGGCUCAGUAUUUCCAGUGUGGUACCGUUGGUCACUGCCCACCAGAGGCAAAUUCCUUGGAUUUCCUGUGUCCACUCCAAGCUCCUUCCUCUCAGCCAGCUUGUUCAUUUACACCUGUUUAUAAUGUAUGCCCUACUUACUCCCAGAAACAACCCAGGAAGGUUCCAUUCCUGUAAGAACAUGGCUGUCUGUGCAGUUCAUUUGACAAUUAAUCACCCACUGCCUUAUGACAAAUCCUCUGUUGCCUUGAACUCUUAUGCAAAUAUUGUACUGGACUUAGCUUUUACAGGCCAAACGCUAUUAUCAGGGAUAGAGAACAACCAGGCCACCUCCGAAGCAGUGGGAAAGUUGUGGGGCACUGGCUUAAGUAGCUGCAAACAGGAGACUGGUGAAGAGGAGACACAAGAGCCACAGGCCAGUGAGCUGUCACCAGCAUCCGGAUGGACAAUGGGCCCGAGGGAGAGAAAGGACUUGUUCUCCUCAAAUUCAAGAUGUGAAGAAGUAGGAUCCACCAGGAGGCUCUUGAGCGAGACGGUGGGUGGAAGGGACCUCGACAACAAAGGAAAUCUGAGGCGUGUGGUUGCUCCUCGCCUCUGUUAAGAAGAAAUGAGAGGUGGGACCAAGCUGGCAGAGGAGUAAGACAUGGUGUUCACCUUCUCCCACAAACACAUCAAACAAACAAACAAACAAACAAGCAAAAAACCUACAUGUAGGAGUUUCCGUCAUGGCGCAGUGGUUAACGAAUCCGACUAGGAACCAUGAGGCUGCGGGUUCAGUCCCGGCCCUUGCUCAGUGGGUUAACGAUCUGGCGUUGCCAUGAGCUGUGGUGUAGGUUGCAGACGUGGCUCGGAUCUUGCGUUGCUGUUGCUCUGGUGUAGGCCAGUGGCUGCAGCUCCGAUUGGACCCCUAGCCUGGGGACCUCCAUAUGCCGUGGGAGCGGCCCAAGAAAUAGCAAACAAACAAACAAACAAAAAAUCUACAUGUAGAAAGAUUCACAUAGAAAAUCUACUGAACCCUGGCAGAAGACUUUAACCCCACAAAAGGGGAAAAAACCCUCCACAUAACUGGGUAGAAAAGGAAAAAGAGAGAGAGGAGUUCCUGUUCGUGGCUGAGUGGUUCAUAAAUCUGACUAGGAACCAUGAGGUUGCGGGUUCAAUUGCUGGCCUUGCUCAGUGGGUUAAGGAUCUGGCGUUGCUGUGAGCUGUGGUGUAGGUUGCAGAUGUGGCUUGGAUCCCGCAUUGCUGUGGCUCUGGCGUAGGCUGGUGGCUACAGCUCCAAUUAGACCCCUAGCCUGGGAACCUCCAUAGGCCAUGGGAGGGGCCCUAGAAAAGGCAA
rnacentral:lncRNA from 1 species